ACACUUACCUAUCAAGGGGGUGCCACCAUGAUGAAGGCGGGUCUUCUAGGGUGACAUGCAUCCAUUGUACUCCAGGUGCGCUGACCCCUGAAACUUCUCCACACUCUGGAAACUGAGUUUUGUAAUUUGUGGUAGUAGGGAAGUAUGUUCCCACCUUCCCCUG
rnacentral:snRNA from 11 species